rnacentral:lncRNA from 1 species
AAAGGCCUAAUUCCACGACGAGCGAAAUGCGAAAAAUUUCGCGCGAAAACACACUUGCGCAAAUUUUCUCUCGUAGUGAUUUCCACAGUAGAGAAAAAAUUCGCCAAAACACAAGCAUUUGAUUGGUUUCGCUAUUUUGUCAUCCAAAACACAAGCAUUUGAUUGGCUUCGCUAUUUCCAUUUCGCAACAGAGUAGAAACGAAUUCAACUACCCGGCGAAGAGAAAUAUUUCACAGAGAAACAUUCCAAAAUCAUGUUGCGCAUGCGUUCAAUCUUUUCGCGCGAAAUUUUUCGCAUUUCGCUCGUCGUGGAAUCAGGCCUUAAAAGGUACGGAUAUGUGUCUUUUCGUGUCGCUAAUUACAUUAUAAUUUUGGAAAUAUUUCUUCAGAGAUCUUGUCUGGAUCGAUAUUAGUUUACUUCUCUGAAGUUGUGAAAUAAACGGAGGUGCAGAAAUACACAAACUAAAACAGCAGGUUUAAUUUUAACCCAGGGUUAGCGCUAUUCCACCUUUGAACAACCGGUCCCAGAAGUCUUUUCGAGUUGUGGUGACGUCACACACCGUGACGUCACGGCAAUACAUGCGGAAAUUCAAGAUGGCGGCGGAACAAAUACGCGGAAGUGGAGCAGAAAACAGGAAAUUAAACUGUUGCGAUCUUCCGAGGAAAUUUUGUAAAAACAAACAAGUAUUAUGAUUUGAAUUGGAAUGGCCCAUGGUACUGGACCUCUAGGGAGAACAGUGUAGAAUUGAUCGGAACUAUCCGGCAGUAUAUAUAAAAUUUGUUUAGUUUAGGUUUCUUCUGGUAUAGUGACACUGAAUCAAUAAGAGAUUAUCCUUACUUAACUAUGCCUUACUGGACCUCUAGGACUAGGAACAACAGUUUAGAACUGAUAGAGCUAUUUAGUUUAGUUUAGGUUUCUUCCUGUAGUAACACUGGAUCAACAAGAGAUGGUCUUUACUGAAUUUCUAGGAAGACCAGUUUAGAACUGAUAGAGCUAUCCAACAUAAAUAAAAUUAGUUUAGUUAGGUUUCCUCCUGUAGUAACACUGGAUCAAUAAGAGAUGAUCCUUACUGGACCUCUAGGAAGAACAGUUUAGAACUGAUAGAGCUAUCCAGUAUAAAUAAAGUUAGUUUAGUUUAGGUUUCCUCCUGAAGUAACACUCACUGGAUCAAUAUGAGAUGAUCCUUACUGGACCUCUAUAGGAAUAGCAGUUCAGAACUGAUAGAUCUAUCCAGUAUAAAUAAAGUUAGUUUAGGUUUCCUCCUGUAGUAACACUGGAUCAACAAGAGAUGGCUCUUAUACUGCCCGGAUCUCGAGAUCUUGGGGGACCAAUUUAGAACUGAUAUAGUCUGAUACAGCAAUAUUUUUUCGGCUAACCAAAUGUUCAGUCUAAAAAAGGCGAUACAACCUAAACUAAAGCCUUCUUAAAAAUGCGCAAACCACAAACAGAGUAUUACUGUGACUAUAAUGUUUAUGCGGUCGAAGGGAUUAGAGCGGUCGGCCUGGUAUAUAGCAGUAUCUUGCAACCAUAGUACAUCAUAAGCCGAAAUCUCCCCCACUCAGCCGCGAUGUAAUAAGCGCUGUUUGGCAAAGUUAAAAACAAUUAGAUUUUAAACCGAUACAGAUAACGCUUUACCUAUUGUGGUUAUGCUUGUGUUAUUAAACACGACUAUAUAUUGGCUUGUCUUAACCGGACGCUAUAUACUUUUGUUUAUCUUCCAAGCUUUUUAUGUUAUAAUUGUUGCGAUAUGUGUUAUGUGAACGAAAAAUCGACAGUUUUUCCAUUCAUUUUUUCCUCGCUACUUUCGGCAGAAGAGGAUAUAUAAAUACGCGUGCUUCACAAGCAAGCAUUUCUCUUGGAAACAUGCAUAUUUUCUGCUAUAGAUUUAAUAUGUUUAUAUAUACAGAGCGCUGUGCCGUUGUCUUAAAUAAAUAAAGCCAAAUGAAAUAUAUUCAAAUGACAGAGUUUUCGGUAUAAUAUAUAGAUUAUUUUAUUGGACCGCCAGCGAUACUAGCGUUCCGACAUCAAUAUAUUGGGCAGAUAAUAUGAGAUCAUUUGCCGACAGCACAUAAUAUUUUCGGUAAAAAAUAACCUAUGCUUUUAACCCUUUUAAAAGUUUAAUUGUUUCUGCUUUCAUGUGUUACUCUGUCUAACGACAGGCGACUAUUCUUGUCUGGAAAGAAAGAGUUAAAAGUAGCUCCCUAAUUCGGAUGAUUCAAAUUGAGCGAAGACUUUUUCAGUCAGUGCUAUCAGAAGAUAGCGUCCCUUUCAGUUUCACCGCGAGAAGGAUUUAAUUCCUGUGAUAACUGAAAGAGUUAUAUCCAGUGCAAAUAAAGUCACGUUUCCUAGCGACAGGUGAAAAUUUAGGGGGGCAAAAAAAUAUUUGCCAUAGUGACUUUGUACCAUUUUCACCGACCAAUAAAAAAAAUUUCCCUCAUGAGAAACUUUUUGUUGUCGACGGUGGGAUUUUCGAGACGCGUUAAAUUUCUGCAUGGCCAUAUUGCAUAUUCCUUGCAUUUUCGACUGUUAUCGCAUACAAUUUUUUACCCCAUCUUUUUCGGCCCAACUUGUGUAGUUGAAAUUUGCCCAACUUCAAUCAUUCCGGGGGCAGCCUUCACCCUAACCCCCCUCCCCCCGUCUCGUACGCUUAUGUGAAUCUUAGCUGUACAAACACAUAUGAUGUUUAAUUUUCAGGCGAUUAUAUACACAUGGCAAUAUUAACAGUUCGUUACCUUCAUUGCGCAUGCGUUUCCCAGCCUUAUCUGACGCGCUUAUCAGACGGAAUUAUCGGCAAACAAUGGCCCCAAUAAGCCGAGUUUUCAGCUGUGGUAAAAUCGAAAGAGUUUAUCGUGUUCAUUAGAUGUAGCGGUGCCUUUACUCUGCUACAAUACAAGACGAUCUAAUUGAGUAAAUUCGAGCGGCCUUGCUCGUGAAAUAUAUUAAUUCGCUUUCGUCAAGUGCUUUGCUGUCGGUACGCGGAUAGCGCGUUUUGAAAGUGCCUGAAUCGGCGCUGCUUAAACCAAAUUGCGGGACAUUAAAACCCCCGCGCAGCGGCCUACACUGACUAUAUAAACUUCGGCGUAGAGCCGGCUUGUUAGACCCUAGCUGCAGACAAACACUGCUAGACGUUCCAAGUUGUGAAAACUGUGAAAAGACGUAACUGAUUUGGAGAAUUUUUUCGCUGUUUGGAAUUUCGGCAAACAAAAUCUGACGCAAUCAGGUGAAUCAUAGCUUCUGCAUGAUAGUAUAUAUAUAUAGAUCGUUAUGUGUGCAAUUAAACACUAUUAACUCUGGUACAG